CAAUAGCGUAUAUUAAAGUUGUUGCAGUUAAAAAGCUCGUAGUUGGAUUUCUGGUCGGAAGCUCCUGUCCUCUGAUGAGCGUACAAGUGCGUCCUACCAUCCUUCUGUUAACCUUUAAGGCUUUCGCGGCUUUCUAGGGGCUCAGAUAUUUUACCUUGAGAAAAUUAGAGUGUUUCAGGCAGGCUAGCGCCGGAAUACAUUAGCAUGGAAUAAUGGAAUAGGACUUUUGCCUCUUCUGUUGGUCAUGAGGCUCGAGUAAUGAUUAAUAGGGAUAGUUGGGGGCAUUAGUACUUAACUGUCAGAGGUGAAAUUCUUGGAUUUACGCAAGACAAACAGCUGCGAAAGCGUCUGCCAAGGAUGUUUUCAUUAA
rnacentral:rRNA from 1 species